rnacentral:rRNA from 1 species
UGCCNGCGCGCGGCGGGCGGGGCGNNGGCCAUAUCCAAUAAGCGGAGGAAAAGAAACCAACAGGGAUUGCCUCAGUAACGGCGAGUGAAGCGGCAAAAGCUCAAAUUUGAAAUCCCCCGGGAAUUGUAAUUUGAAGAGAUUUGGGUCCGGCCGGCAGGGGUUAAGUCCACUGGAAAGUGGCGCCACAGAGGGUGACAGCCCCGUGAACCCCUUUAACGCCUUCAUCCCAGAUCUCCAAGAGUCGAGUUGUUUGGGAAUGCAGCUCUAAGUGGGUGGUAAAUUCCAUCUAAAGCUAAAUACCGGCGAGAGACCGAUAGCGAACAAGUACAGUGAUGGAAAGAUGAAAAGCACUUUGAAAAGAGAGUGAAAAAGUACGUGAAAUUGUUGAAAGGGAAGGGCUUGCAAGCAGACACUUAACUGGGCCAGCAUCGGGGCGGCGGGAAACAAAACCACCGGGGAAUGUACCUUUCGAGGAUUAUAACCCCCGGUCUCAAUUUCCAUGUUGCCCCGAGGCCUGCAAUCUAAGGAUGCUGGCUAAUGUGCAUGCG